UUUACGUACUGGAAAUAAUAUAAAAAUUAAAGCAUCAAUUUGAGAGAGUCAGUUGAUUUCUUGUCUUCUCGAGCUACCGGCUGUGUCCAUAAUGCAUCUCGUCUUGGUUUCUCUGCUCUUCCUAACCCUCUACUGGCCGAUCAGCGCCCAUACCGACAGGCAGACAGAAGGUACCUUUACAAGAGGCAGACAAAACCGAAUUGGCCUUACGGACAUGAUGACAAUAUAUUCGACGCGCAGGACAGAGAUCGGUGCCAGCCUGGCAAGACUUUUGACAGACGCACAAAUACAUGCAGGACCUCUCAUGGAUGAUUUUAAGUUGAAUUAUUUUAUCAUGCUUUGUUAAAAUUUUUAAAAUUUGCUUCAUUUUGUAAAAAAAAAUCAGAUAAUAAUAAAAAAAAAAUUAUGUUACGCUUAUAAUAAAUCUGAUAAAAUAAUAAUUUGAAAAUAAUUGAAAAUCAUAUACUUACAAACCUUUUUUGUUACGGCCUGAGCAGCAAAUUGGUUUUCAACAAUUACCCUGGGAGCUGUAAGCUUUAAGCUUGUCAAUAUUAAUCAGCGAGCGUUAUUUUGAAUUCGUCUAUUUAUUUCAUUGAUUUGAAGUGCGCUAUAAUUUAAAUUAUUAGGUAAGCAUAUUUAAUAAAAAAAAACGACCCGCAUUACAGGAGUUUCCAUACUGUUAAUGAAUAAUAAAUUGUAAUUAUUUUGAUAACACCGCAAAAAAUUUUAAAUAAAACAUAAGUGUUGUUUGAAUUAUUUAGGAAGCAAAUUUAUGCAAUUGAAUCACUUGUUGACCUUGGUAGCUUGAACUUGUAUUGUUAGGAGAUCCGAUAUUUAAUAAAUAACCGGUCAGUCUGGGAAUUCCUAAACAGGUUCACUGCAAACCUUGUCGAUAAAAAAUUGUUUUGAGGAAGCCUGCCCACUGACAAAAAUAUAAAAGCUAAGGCGUGUCCUCAGGAUGGCUCAGUUGAUCUCCUUCUUUUUAUUGUGGCGAGACGUGCUUGAAAAUGCAUCUUGGCUUGUUCGCUUUGCUCGUGCUUACUUUCUGCUGGUCGAUAAGCGCCCAGAACUAUAACCAAAACUACAGACAGACCGGCGCAUAUCAGAAUCCACCAAGGCAGCAGAGGCCAUCCGCGAUCAAUUACAAUCAGCAGCAACAGCAGCGGCGGCCGGUUGCACCAAACCAGCAAAACAGACCUUUCCAGCCUCAGGUCAGACCCCAAACACGACCCCAGAGACCUCAGAAUCCCCAACAGCCACCGCUCACCGCUAUAUUUGACGCGCAAGAGAGAGAUCCCUGCGGGCCCGAUGAGGCUUAUGAUGAACGCAGCAAUAGAUGCAGGCCCAUUUUUGGAUAAAUGUCUCUUGAAAAAUGUAUCUCGCACGUUUAUUUUUUUUUUUUUUUUUUUUUUUAAUAUUAAUAAAGUAAUCAUCAAGCACUACUAGCCUAUUUUAUUGUUUGCAUAAAUUUAAAUGUGAUUAAAUGACAUAAAGUUUAUUAACUUUAUAAAGCUUCAAAAUAUAUCAUAUUUGAUUCCUUAUUUCUUUUGCUCAUUCUUCACCAUUUUUGUUCUUGUGUUUUCAAUAUGUAGACGUUUUAAAAUAAAAAUUUUAGGGGCGAAUGAAGAAAUGGCUUUUCGCUAGCAAACAACUUGCUUAAGCACAGCAACAUCUCCUUUGAAAGAGAGCGUACCGGCCGCUAGAAAAAAAAAUGGGGAGGGAGUUUUGUCAUUUAUAAAUUUUGUUAUUUAAAAAAGAGAAAAUGCAAUUUAAUUGAUUAUUCAUUAGCAGCCGGAUUUAUAUUGCUCUUAUUUCUUAUAUUUUUAAUUCAUUGGGGAAAACCUGUGUAGACGACCGGGCUGUCCUGGAGCUUCCUAAACCGGUUUCUCUUUCCAACUCGUCGUGUGAAAUGCACCAGGCAGAUUAUUUUGCGAUACCCACUGUACAAUUGCGUAUAUAUAGAGGCUCCGAGAUCACCUCCGUACGUUAAGUUAGUCUCUAUUUCUGAUUGUGGUGCAUCCGCUUUUCAAAAUGAAUCUGGGCCUAUUUGCUUUUCUUUUCCUGACUCUGAGCUUGACGGUCAGUGCCCAAUACUCCUACAAUUAUGGACAGACGGGAGCACUUCAGUAUCCUCAGAAUAUAGCCGGACAGAGGCCGUAUCAGCAGCAGCAGCAGCGGCCAUUCCAGCAAAGUAACGCCUAUCAGCCGCAGGUUAGACCCCCAGCACGACCCCAGAAGCCCCAACGCCCCCCAGUGGGCACUUUUAUCGGUGCACCUGAUAGAAAUUCUUGUCCGCCCGGCGAGACUUUUGACAACCGCAAAAAUAAAUGCAGACCAUCGUUUGAUUGAAUUGAUCACUUAAGUUUUUAUUGUGUUUGUUUUUUUUCCAUUUCAAUUUUUAACUGGACCAUGAGUUUUUACAAUUAUUGUAUCACAAAAUGAAUUAAAUUGUUCUUCAUUAUUGUUCAAAUAAGCAGAAAUAGUCAAUCAUCUUUGUAAUAAUUCAGAAAUAAAAAUGAAUUCCACAUA